UCCAAUUGUACUGGAAGGCAAAGGGAACACAAGGGCGUAGGAAGAAGUUGCGAUACCGGCUUCGCAUCGAGUUGGCAAGCUUCCCCAGCAGCCUCCACUUGACAUGAGAUCUGCCGUGCCUUGAUGGACAUCUGAGAAGAGAAUUAGGUCCCAGAGAGGCUGCCUACGAAUUCAGGCAGCAUUAUAUGAAGAUGAGAAAUUCAGAGAUGCUGAAGGUCUGCGUCCCCAGUCAAACAGGUACAAACAAGGCACUUUUACACGGCUUGCCAAGAGGAGCCGCUGGCAGAGCAGCCCACCUUGCUCCUGGCACUGCGGCAGAGCAGCAUGCAGCCCUUCUGCUCCCUUCAGCAGCAGCAGGUGCCUGAGGCUACCCCGUUGCCUUCACAGAGAUACUGAUAGUGCUUCUGAAGGCAGCUGAGGCAUUUCAGGACUAGGACCGGGGAUGGACCUCCAUGAACAGCCAGCACAACAACAGCAAUAUCCUGUUUGUUUUUGUUUUGUUUUUUUUUUUCCCCUUGAACUCAGGCCAAGUCAAAGGAUACAGCGUAGCACUUUGGGUGUAUUUGCGUGCUCAAGGCUCUGGGCCUCGCAGCAGCCCCCCUCGGGCAUCAGGACUCAUCAGAGCACCAAGGACACAUCGACUCUCACUCAUCUCUUGCACUUUUAGAAGCAGAGUUGCAGUUAAGACUACGGAGUUAGCUAUAUGUAACAGCUCAUUUGCAGAGAAAUAUCCCCUACAAGACAGGAGGAUGCUGCUUCUAAUCGCACGGCCGAAGUGCAAUGCUGUGAGACUGAAAUGGACAACCGAACCAUAUGAUCAGCCUUCUUUUAUGAGAACGCUAUGUCAGUCAGUCAGUUUAUGACCUGAAAUUGGAUGGGAAAAGUCUGAUCCUGGCCCUGCUGAAUGCAAAGAGUUUCAUUUUGCCGUUCUGUUUAGGACAUACAGCUUUGCAGCUCCUGCCAUCACAUCCUCGACCUUCUGUGUGUCAUUACCUUGAGACUGAAGUUUUGCUGUCCCUCCCCACCUCCUGCUGGGAGCUGAGCAGCACUGCGGGCACCCGGUGCCCAGGUCCUUCCUGUGUCAGAGGCCUCGGCG
rnacentral:lncRNA from 1 species